rnacentral:rRNA from 1 species
UACGUAGGGUGCAAGCGUUUGUCCGGAAUUAUUGGGCGUAAAGAGCUCGUAGGCGGUCUGUCGCGUCUGCUGUGAAAACUCAGGGCUUAACCCUGAGCUUGCAGUGGGUACGGGCAGACUAGAGUGCGGUAGGGGAGACUGGAAUUCCUGGUGUAGCGGUGAAAUGCGCAGAUAUCAGGAGGAACACCGGUGGCGAAGGCGGGGUCUCUGGGCCGUAAACUGACGCUGGAGGAGCGAAAAGCAUGGGGAGCGAACAGG